rnacentral:rRNA from 1 species
CCCUAUGGGUUGUAAACUGCUUUUGUUUGAGAAGAAACGCCUGGAUUUAUCCGGGCCUGACGGUAUCUUACGAAUAAGCACCGGCUAAUUCCGUGCCAGCAGCCGCGGUAAUACGGAAGGUGCAAGCGUUAUCCGGAAUCACUGGGUUUAAAGGGUGCGUAGGCUGUUAGAUAAGUCAGAGGUGAAAGCUCAUCGCUUAACGAUGGAACUGCCUUUGAUACUGUUUAACUUGAAUUAGGUUGAGGUUAGCGGAAUGAGUCAUGUAGCGGUGAAAUGCAUAGAUAUGACUUAGAACACCAAUUGCGAAGGCAGCUGGCUAGACCUAUAUUGACGCUGAGGCACGAAAGCGUGGGGAGCGAACAGGAUUAGAUACCCUGGUAGUCCACGCCCUAAACGAUGCUAACUCGAUGUGUGCUUAAUUGUGCGCAUCCAAGGGAAACCGUUAAGUUAGCCACCUGGGGAGUACGUCGGCAACGAUGAAACUCAAAUGAAUUGA